AUACUUAGCUGGCGGGGGAGACACCAUGAUCACAAAGGUGAUUUUCCCGGGGCGAGGUGGACCCAUUGCACUCUAGACGUGCUGACCCCUGCAAUGUCCCCAAAUGUGAGGAACUCGACUGCAUACUUUGUGGUCGUGGGAGACUGUGUUCAAGAUUUCCCC